CAAGCCUUUGCUGUCAGUUGACUGAGCAGGGUCUAUCGACCAUUCUAGCUAUUAUAACGGAAACAUUUGUAUAUUUAGGCCAACAGGGGAGUCGGACACAUCGCAUUGCGUUCUCUGGUGUGCUUCUUUAGGGGUGGGGAUUUUAAGGAACACAAUCCAAACCUGCAUGGGGAUAUAUGGAAACCUGAUUGGCCCAGUUGAGAAGUGCCUGAAGACCAAGACUCUGCUGCAGACUCCCAAAACCUCCUCACAUCCUCUCUGCC